UCGAGAAUCUUCGGCAAUGCGCGCAAGCGUGACCGAGCGACGCCGCGUGUGGGAUGAAGGCCUUCGGGUUGUAAACCACUGUCAGUUGGGAGGAAAUCUGCAGGAGCUAUCUCCUGCAGUUGACCUAUCUUCAGAGGAAGGCCGGGCUAAGUUCGUGCCAGCAGCCGCGGUAAGACGAACCGGCCGAACGUUAUUCGGAAUUAUUGGGCUUAAAGGGUGCGUAGGCGGCGCGGUCAGUCGGGUGUGAAAUCCCUCGGCUCAACCGAGGAAUUGCGCCCGAUACUGCCGUGCUCGAGGGAGACAGAGGCGAGCGGAACUGAUGGUGGAGCGGUGAAAUGCGUUGAUAUCAUCAGGAACACCAGUGGCGAAAGCGGCUCGCUGGGUCUCUUCUGACGCUGAGGCACGAAAGCUAGGGUAGCGAACAGGAUUAGAUACCCCCGUAGUCC
rnacentral:rRNA from 1 species